rnacentral:rRNA from 1 species
GACGAACGCUGGCGGCGUGCUUAACACAUGCAAGUCGAGCGGAAAGGCCCUUCGGGGUACUCGAGCGGCGAACGGGUGAGUAACACGUGAGUAACCUGCCCCAGACUUUGGGAUAACCCUCGGAAACGGGGGCUAAUACCGGAUACGACACAGCUUCGCAUGGGGUCUGUGUGGAAAGUUUUUCGGUUUGGGAUGGGCUCGCGGCCUAUCAGCUUGUUGGUGGGGUGAUGGCCUACCAAGGCGACGACGGGUAGCCGGCCUGAGGGGGCGACCGGCCACACGGGGACUGAGACACGGCCCAGACUCCUCGGGGGGGCAGGAGGGGGGAAUAUUGCAAAAGGGGCGGAGGCCUGAUGCAGCGACGCCGGGUGGGGGAUGCCGGCCUUGGGGUUGAAAACCUUUUUCAGCGGGGACGAAGCGUAAGGGACGGUACCUGCAGAAGAAGCGCCGGCCAACUACG